GGGAAGAAAAUCCUGCAAUUUUGGCACCGGUGGAUUUUUCAAAUAUGAAAGUAAUUUUGCAAUAACAUUCAUUAUUAUUGAAAAAUCCGCCGGUGCCAAAAUUGCAGGAUUUUCUUCCC
rnacentral:sRNA from 1 species